CAAAAAAGAACAAAAAAAACAAUCAACUUAAAGAAAGCAAAUAAGCAGGGGAUGCUUUGGUAGACGGCCCGGAUACUUUCCCCCACCCCGAGCCCCCCAUCGAUUCUCGUCUCCCGACGACCCGCGCGGCGGCGCGCAUCUGGGGCUCCGCCGGCGGCCGGACUACAUGAGAGCAGGAGCAGGAGCUUCGGAGACGAGACGAGACGGGGCUGACGCGCCCAUGAGCUUCACGGCAGCAGCUUGAUUUCCUCCCCUGAAUUCCAGACUUGCGGGAUUAAAGUAAGCGACGCAGCAGCAUGUGUACCAGCGUGUUAGAGAGAAGGUGGCCGCCGCCGACGCAAGUACGAGCUUCAGCGCUUUGACAGCCUCCUACGACCCGCGUCGACAGUUACUUGAAAGAGAAAGGUGCACCAUGAUCUAAAAUCGAUUCUCCAUUAAAUCUUUUCUCUAGAUAAUUUGAGCUUAACUGUGAGAGAUGGGAUAACGUGCAGUAUCAAUCAUGUCGGGGAAGGGACAAAUUAGUUGUAUAUGUAAUGGAAACUCUCACCCAUCUACCAUCGGUGUAGCGUCCAGCACUGCAGGAAGGAGGAGAUGAUGCAUACAACAAGAAGGGAUCUGUGUGGUCUGUGAUGGUAGUGUCACGUAGCACUCAACAGCUAAUUGAAGCAGAGCGGGACAAGUGUAAUCCUUUCUGUUUGUUUGAAUUUUUUACAGAAAAAAUUGAUAGUAGUAACACCCUAAUAGUCGUGUGUCCGUUCAUGUUUUGCCCUGAAAACUAGACUGAGUGCAACAUUACUACUGCCAAUUAAUGUAAUUAACUUUUAGUGUCAUCUCCUAGAUUUUUUAUUUUUGUCAUUAGAUGAAUUCAGUUUCUCUGAUCUCCCCUUUUGCCAAGUUUGCAUUUAGCAAAACUGUUUUCUAACUGUUGGAAUUAGUGAAGGAUGGGAGUUCUAAACAUAACAGUAUGGCAUGCUAUCGAGCCUACGGUGUCUGCAACAAAGUGGGGUAGUAGGAUUUAUAUUACUAGAAGCAUAGAAGUAUUACUAAUAUAUUUUUGAUUUUUCAGGCUUGCUCUUGGUUCUAUUGUUCGCAAGGGUUCCUUGGUCAUGGCUCUGUUGUUCCAGAGGUAAUAAUUGACAAUGCAGAUAAUUUAAUUUCUCACC